GACGAACGCUGGCGGCGUGCUUAACACAUGCAAGUCGAACGGAAAGGCCCUGCUUUUGUGGGGUGCUCGAGUGGCGAACGGGUGAGUAACACGUGAGUAACCCGCCCUUGACUUUGGGAUAACUUCAGGAAACUGGGGCUAAUACCGGAUAGGAGCUCCUGCUGCAUGGUGGGGGUUGGAAAGUUUCGGCGGUUGGGGAUGGACUCGCGGCUUAUCAGCUUGUUGGUGGGGUAGUGGCUUACCAAGGCUUUGACGGGUAGCCGGCCUGAGAGGGUGACCGGCCACAUUGGGACUGAGAUACGGCCCAGACUCCUACGGGAGGCAGCAGUGGGGAAUAUUGCACGAUGGGCGGAAGCCUGAUGCAGCAACGCCGCGUGCGGGAUGACGGCCUUCGGGUUGUAAACCGCUUUCGCCUGUGACGAAGCGUGAGUGACGGUAAUGGGUAAAGAAGCACCGGCUAACUACGUGCCAGCAGCCGCGGUGAUACGUAGGGUGCGAGCGUUGUCCGGAUUUAUUGGGCGUAAAGGGCUCGUAGGUGGUUGAUCGCGUCGGAAGUGUAAUCUUGGGGCUUAACCCUGAGCGUGCUUUCGAUACGGGUUGACUUGAGGAAGGUAGGGGAGAAUGGAAUUCCUGGUGGAGCGGUGGAAUGCGCAGAUAUCAGGAGGAACACCAGUGGCGAAGGCGGUUCUCUGGGCCUUUCCUGACGCUGAGGAGCGAAAGCGUGGGGAGCGAACAGGCUUAGAUACCCUGGUAGUCCACGCUGUAAACGGUGGGUACUAGGUGUGGGGUCCAUUCCACGGGUUCCGUGCCGUAGCUAACGCUUUAAGUACCCCGCCUGGGGAGUACGGCCGCAAGGCUAAAACUCAAAGGAAUUGACGGGGCCCCGCACAAGCGGCGGAGCAUGCGGAUUAAUUCGAUGCAACGCGUAGAACCUUACCUGGGUUUGACAUGGAUCGGGAGCGCUCAGAGAUGGGUGUGCCUCUUUUGGGGUCGGUUCACAGGUGGUGCACGGCUGUCGUCAGCUCGUGUCGUGAGAUGUUGGGUUAAGUCCCGCAACGAGCGCAACCCUUGUUCACUGUUGCCAGCACGUUAUGGUGGGGACUCAGUGGAGACCGCCGGGGUCAACUCGGAGGAAGGUGGGGAUGACGUCAAGUCAUCAUGCCCCUUAUGUCCAGGGCUUCACGCAUGCUACAAUGGCUGGUACAGAGAGUGGCGAGCCUGUGAGGGUGAGCGAAUCUCGGAAAGCCGGUCUCAGUUCGGAUUGGGGUCUGCAACUCGACCUCAUGAAGUCGGAGUCGCUAGUAAUCGCAGAUCAGCAACGCUGCGGUGAAUACGUUCCCGGG
rnacentral:rRNA from 1 species